rnacentral:rRNA from 1 species
UACGAAGGGUGCAAAUGUUGCUCGGAAUCAUUGGGCGUAAAGCGCACGUAGGCGGCCUCAAAAGUUGGAUGUGAAAUCCCUCGGCUCAACCGUGGAAGUGCAUUCGAAACUGCAGGGCUAGAGUCCGGGAGAGGGGGGUGGAAUUCCCAGUGUAGCGGUGAAAUGCGUAGAUAUUGGGAGGAACACCGGUGGCGAAGGCGGCCCCCUGGACCGGUACUGACGCUGAGACGCGAAAGCGUGGGGAGCGAACAGG